UCUUGAAACACAAAACAGCUGGAGACAUAAUGUGAACAAAGUUCACCUUUUCUUGUUUACAUUUGAAAGCUGCUGCACUGUUUAUGGGAUGAUGCAUUUGUUUAAAUGAAUGUCCAGCUAUUAUUGAUUUUUUCCUCUCCCUCCCCCCCCCCCCCUUUUUUUUUUUCCUCUUUGUGGUUGUGUCACUGGUGUCGUGCAGCAGAAAUCUCUCGCUUUAGCACACCUGUGCACAUAUUGACUGUGGAAAGAAUUAGGCCGUGCUCUCCCUACAGUUGCUGUGGUGAAACUCAGGCCUGGAUUUGCCCAAGAGACCCUGUGGAGUCUCUCUCCUUCCUUUUGGCACCCCCACUAUUCUCUGUGAGUGUGCAUCUAUCUCUUGCACAGCACAUCAGAAGGUCGGCUGGCGAUGAAAACAUCAGAUUCCUGUAAACAUGACAAAUCCACGUUCCAAUGAAGCCUGCAAAAGUCGUUGAAAGCCCAUCUUCUCCUUUCAGUUGUAGUAAUGCAAAUCUGGAAUAACUCAAGUUGCUUAAUUUGAAUUGCAUGAGUCGACAUAGGUGUGGCUGACAGUGGAGGCUGGCUUGCAGUUCCCAACACCAGGAAAUCAUGAGGUCACACUUGCUGCUUGGUCCAAAGACAGCUUUGCCUUCAUUCCAGGUGAAGCUACACCAAAAAGCAGCACUGUGAACAAGUACCUUGAGGAACUUCUUAUAGGAAGAAUCCUAUUAAUGAACUAAGCUUCACAGAAAUGUGAUAACACAAACCACAGACUCUAAAAACUAAUGCCAGCCUUCCCGUACAUACUCUUCUUGUAGGCUUAAAAAGUCCCAAAUCAUCAGCAAUAGUCACUCCUUCUAUUUUCAGCGUCGCUCAGAAAGGUCAGGGAAUACACAGGGGUUGGGACAGCAGGUUUUACACAUUGGAUUGACUUUCCAGUAAGACUAAGCAUGUGGAUGACUGUACACGUAGACAAGUCAUUGUGCAAUAUUCUGAAAGUAGGUGGUAAAACAGCCCUAUACUUAUCCCAGUUAUUCUCAGAAAUAUUACCUUUAUUAAAAAGAGAGGAAAAAAAACCCUUGCCUCUGAAAGAAAGGACAGUGAAUGAGAACAGUAAGAAUUGUGUAAUUGGGGAAGUGUGUUGUUCUCUUUCACUUUUAUGAAGACCAUUCAUGAAAUUCUUUCCUGAGAUACUUACUAAUACCUCCAAAUGCUGUUUCUGUAAAACGACUUGGAAUUAUUAGAUGAGAUUUUUCUGAAAUGUGGUGAACUCAUCGACACAAUUUGUUCUUUUUAAUAGAUUCCUUUUUUUGCUUUGCAAAAGAACUUGAGUCUUGCCUCUUUGGUUCUAGCACUGCAGUCCUUCAUUGUAUUGCCAGUGGGAUCUUCAGAAUAUGCAUCAUUGACAGAAGUCCUCUCUCCCCAAAGAACAAUGAGGAGGAGACCCUUGAGGUUCCAGGAGACGUUUUCCUUUUUUCACUUCCCUGCCUGGCACCUGAAGAAGAAAUUUUAAGGAAAGCCUUGCUUUGUCUCUGCAGCUUCAGACAGAAGCUGCCCCACUGGAGAUACUGGCAAGAGAGAGUUUAGCUGCUGAAGUCAAAGAAAUAUUUUCUGAUUAGGUGUGAACUGAUUUUAUUAUAUUUCCCUAAAGGCUUAUAAGUUGACCAACUUUAGGUAACUUUUUAUGAAGUACCAAAAGGCAUUUAUCUAAUGCCAGAGCAGCUGCUGACAAAUUUCAGGCUUUUAUUUCAAAGCAUGAAACAGUUAAGUGGUUGGAAGAAUAUUUUAAAGUAUGAGAAAAGCAAAGUAAUGUGGAGAGCCGUGUGUUUAUUUUGAGACAUUUGUAGCCCCAGUUCUCAUUUUGCUUGGUGUGGUGAUCCAGCCAGUUCACAUGAUACUUCCCGGCUUCCACCUCAAUAGUUUUCUGAAUACAAAUAAACCCAACAAACCUCAGAAUCAAAACAGCAGCUCCCCCAAAUCUGAAUUGAAAACAAAACCCCCAGUUUGAGCAGUUUCUUUCCAAGUGACUGUAGUUGUCUGAAAGCAGUGUUUUAAAAGGAAAGUCAGUUGAUCUGCUUUAUGGGUGCUGUGUGUAUUUCCUGUGCUUGCAGAAACAGCAGACAGCUAAAAUUCUGACUUGUGCAUGCAUGUAAGAAUGCACCAAAAAGCAUCCCUGCGUAUGUAUGGCAUCAAACCAACUUCAUUUGGGAUAACUCAAAGAGAUGAAGUUCCUCACUAGCAAGUCCUCUUCAGGGCCAACAAUAUUCCAAGCAAGUCCAACUCAGGGCCAGUUUCCAAUAGUUACCUAUUUUGAGGCUUUGGUACUUGCAGCCACUUUUGAGGCCAAGUCCAGAUCUUACCGACACUUACCCAGCACAAUUUGUAGUGAAGUGAAGCAAGCUUGCAGGUUG